GGGAUGGGGUGACUAGUGACAGAGUGAGGAAGGGGGUGACUAGGGACAGAGGGGGUGAUUAGUGACAGAGUUAGGGAGGGAGUGACUAGUGACAGAGGGAUGGGGUGACUAGUGACAGUCACCCCCUCCCUCACUCUGUCACUAAUCACUACCUCCCUCUGUCACUAGUCACUACCUCCCUCUGUCACUAGUCACUACCUCCCUCUGUCACUAGUCACUCCCUCACUCUGUCACCAGUCAUCCCCUCACUCUGUCACUAGUCACCUCUUCCCUCCC